GAGUUUGAUCCUGGCUCAGGACGAACGCUGGCGGCGUGCCUAAUACAUGCAAGUCGAACGGUCUUUUCUAUGGAAGCUUGCUUCCACUGAGAAGAUAGUGGCGGACGGGUGAGUAACACGUGGGUAACCUGCCCAUAAGAGGGAGAUAACAUCCGGAAACGGGUGCUAAUACCGCAUAGUUUUCUUGAUCGCAUGAUUGAGAAAGGAAAGACGGCCUUUGUGCUGUCGCUUAUGGAUGGACCCGCGGCGUAUUAGUUAGUUGGUGAGGCAAUGGCUCACCAAGACGAUGAUACGUAGCCGACCUGAGAGGGUGAUCGGCCACAUUGGGACUGAGACACGGCCCAAACUCCUACGGGAGGCAGCAGUAGGGAAUCUUCCGCAUUGGACGAAAGUCUGACGGAGCAACGCCGCGUGAGUGAAGAAGGUUUUCGGAUCGUAAAACUCUGUUGUCAGAGAAGAACAAGUUGGAGAGUAACUGCUCCAGCCUUGACGGUAUCUGACCAGAAAGCCACGGCUAACUACGUGCCAGCAGCCGCGGUAAUACGUAGGGUGGCAAGCGUUGUCCGGAUUUAUUGGGCGUAAAGCGAGCGCA
rnacentral:rRNA from 1 species